ensembl:snRNA U1 U1 spliceosomal RNA
AGGUUUACUUGGUGGGGACUUACUGUGAUCGUGAAGAUGAUUGCUCAAGAGGGAGGCUUAUUCUUUCAGUUCUGUAUGUGCUGACGUUUUGUGGUUUUCUCUUAUGGGGGAAGCUCUGCUGUGUCGUUUGUGGUAGUUAGGGGCUGCGUUCGCCUUUUCCCGCG